UACGGGGGGAGCAAGCGUUGUUCGGAUUUACUGGGCGUAAAGGGCGCGUAGGCGGCGCCGCAAGUCGACUGUGAAAUCUCCGGGCUUAACCCGGAAAGGUCAGCCGAUACUGCGGGGCUAGAGUGCAGAAGGGGCAACUGGAAUUCUCGGUGUAGCGGUGAAAUGCGCAGAUAUCAGGAGGAACACCUAUUGCGAAGGCAGCUCGCUGGGACGUUACUGACGCUGAGACGCGAAAGCGUGGGGAGCAAACAGG
rnacentral:rRNA from 1 species